UGGGGAAUUUUGGACAAUGGGGGCAACCCUGAUCCAGCCAUGCCGCGUGUGUGAAGAAGGCCUUCGGGUUGUAAAGCACUUUCGGACGGAACGAAAUCGCACGGGUGAAUAUCCCGUGUGGAUGACGGUACUGUAAGAAGAAGCACCGGCUAACUACGUGCCAGCAGCCGCGGUAAUACGUAGGGUGCGAGCGUUAAUCGGAAUUACUGGGCGUAAAGCGUGCGCAGGCGGCUUCGCAAGUCAGACGUGAAAUCCCCGGGCUUAACCUGGGAAUGGCGUUUGAAACUACGGAGCUGGAGUGUGGCAGAGGGAGGUAGAAUUCCACGUGUAGCGGUGAAAUGCGUAGAUAUGUGGAGGAAUACCGAUGGCGAAGGCAGCCUCCUGGGCCAACACUGACGCUCAUGCACGAAAGCGUGGGGAGCAAACAGGAUUAGAUACCCCCGUAGUCC
rnacentral:rRNA from 1 species